rnacentral:tRNA from 1 species
GGGCCGUUAGCUCAAUUGGUAGAGCAGCUGACUCUUAAUCAGUAGGUUCAAGGUUCGAGUCCUUGACGGCCCA